rnacentral:rRNA from 1 species
CAAAUCAGGUACGACUACCCGCUGAACUUAAUGCAUAUCAUUAAGCGGAAGGAAA